UUAAAAAUCAGAGGUGUAGCUUCUUCCUAAAAACAAAUAUUUGUCGCCACAGGUGACACAAGAUGAAUGCUGAAUCCUAGAAAAAUGGUCAGAAGAGGGACCAGAGUUCAGCCUGUCUGAUCUGGGAUGUGAAUGGACCCCUUGCGCCUUCUGACAUACUGGACAUUGUGUCACAGCUGUUACCUCUGGUGAAUGGAUAUGAGGAUAGACAUAAAGAAGGUGAGUUAACUGAACUUUAAUUUCUUUCUUUAUAGCUUGAUUUUUUUUAUCACAUACAAGUAUCCCCUUAAUUUACAAAAUAGUUC
rnacentral:lncRNA from 1 species